rnacentral:sRNA from 1 species
UUUCAUUGGGGUUGCCGAUGAUAAUUUAGCUGACUAUCCGUUAUCUUCGCAGGGAAUUGCCAGAUAGCGUAUAAAAGCAAAACACAAAUCUAUCCAUGCAAGCAUUUACCGCUGGUUUAUCCGGCGGUUUUUUUUAUCUGAAAAUCAGGGAAAGCUACGGAAGGGCGAAUCAGGUAAAAAAAUGGCCCCUUGUGCAGUUACGCGACAAGGGGCCGGUUCGAUGCAGGACUAUCUUCGUUCAUCAAUC